GAUGAACGCUGGCGGCGUGCCUAAUACAUGCAAGUCGAGCGAAAGGACGCGAAGCUUGCUUUUCUGAUGUUAGCGGCGGACGGGUGAGUAACACGAGUAUAACCUACCUAUAAGACUGGGAUAACUUCGGGAAUCCGGAGCUAAUACCGGAUAAUAUUUUGAACCGCAUGGUUCAUAAGAGAAAGACGGUCUUGCUGUCACUUAUAGAUGGAUCCGCGCUUCAUUAGCUAGUUGUUAAGGUCACGGCUUACCAAGGCAAGGAUGCAUAUCCGACCUGUUAGGGGGAUCGGCCACACUAGAACUGAAACACGCUCCAGACGACUGAGGGAGGGAGCAGUAGGGAACAGGCGGCAAUGGUGGAAAACCUGACGGAGUGAGGGCGCGCGUGUGAUAAAGAUCUUCGGAUCGUAAAACUGUGUUAUUAGGGAAGAACAUAUUUGUAAGUAACUGUGGACAUCUUGACGGUACCUGAUCAGAAAGCCACGGCUAACUACGUG
rnacentral:rRNA from 1 species